UACAGAGGGUGCGAGCGUUAAUCGGAAUUACUGGGCGUAAAGCGCGCGUAGACGGUUUUGUAAGUCAGAUGUGAAAUCCCUGGGCUCAACCUGGGAACUGCAUUUGAGACUGCAUGGCUAGAGUAUCGAAGAGGGAAGUGGAAUUUCCGGUGUAGCGGUGAAAUGCGUAGAUAUCGGAAGGAACACCAGUGGCGAAAGCGACUUCCUGGUCGAAUACUGACGUUCAUGUGCGAAAGCGUGGGGGAGCAAACAGG
rnacentral:rRNA from 1 species